UUAAAUUGAAGAGUUUGAUCAUGGCUCAGAUUGAACGCUGGCGGCAGGCCUAACACAUGCAAGUCGAACGGUAACAGGAAGCAGCUUGCUGCUUUGCUGACGAGUGGCGGACGGGUGAGUAAUGUCUGGGAAACUGCCUGAUGGAGGGGGAUAACUACUGGAAACGGUAGCUAAUACCGCAUAACGUCGCAAGACCAAAGAGGGGGACCUUAGGGCCUCUUGCCAUCGGAUGUGCCCAGAUGGGAUUAGCUAGUAGGUGGGGUAACGGCUCACCUAGGCGACGAUCCCUAGCUGGUCUGAGAGGAUGACCAGCCACACUGGAACUGAGACACGGUCCAGACUCCUACGGGAGGCAGCAGUGGGGAAUAUUGCACAAUGGGCGCAAGCCUGAUGCAGCCAUGCCGCGUGUAUGAAGAAGGCCUUCGGGUUGUAAAGUACUUUCAGCGGGGAGGAAGGGAGUAAAGUUAAUACCUUUGCUCAUUGACGUUACCCGCAGAAGAAGCACCGGCUAACUCCGUGCCAGCAGCCGCGGUAAUACGGAGGGUGCAAGCGUUAAUCGGAAUUACUGGGCGUAAAGCGCACGCAGGCGGUUUGUUAAGUCAGAUGUGAAAUCCCCGGGCUCAACCUGGGAACUGCAUCUGAUACUGGCAAGCUUGAGUCUCGUAGAGGGGGUAGAAUUCCAGGUGUAGCGGUGAAAUGCGUAGAGAUCUGGAGGAAUACCGGUGGCGAAGGCGGCCCCCUGGACGAAGACUGACGCUCAGGUGCGAAAGCGUGGGGAGCAAACAGGAUUAGAUACCCUGGUAGUCCACGCCGUAAACGAUGUCGACUUGGAGGUUGUGCCCUUGAGGCGUGGCUUCCGGAGCUAACGCGUUAAGUCGACCGCCUGGGGAGUACGGCCGCAAGGUUAAAACUCAAAUGAAUUGACGGGGGCCCGCACAAGCGGUGGAGCAUGUGGUUUAAUUCGAUGCAACGCGAAGAACCUUACCUGGUCUUGACAUCCACGGAAGUUUUCAGAGAUGAGAAUGUGCCUUCGGGAACCGUGAGACAGGUGCUGCAUGGCUGUCGUCAGCUCGUGUUGUGAAAUGUUGGGUUAAGUCCCGCAACGAGCGCAACCCUUAUCCUUUGUUGCCAGCGGUCCGGCCGGGAACUCAAAGGAGACUGCCAGUGAUAAACUGGAGGAAGGUGGGGAUGACGUCAAGUCAUCAUGGCCCUUACGACCAGGGCUACACACGUGCUACAAUGGCGCAUACAAAGAGAAGCGACCUCGCGAGAGCAAGCGGACCUCAUAAAGUGCGUCGUAGUCCGGAUUGGAGUCUGCAACUCGACUCCAUGAAGUCGGAAUCGCUAGUAAUCGUGGAUCAGAAUGCCACGGUGAAUACGUUCCCGGGCCUUGUACACACCGCCCGUCACACCAUGGGAGUGGGUUGCAAAAGAAGUAGGUAGCUUAACCUUCGGGAGGGCGCUUACCACUUUGUGAUUCAUGACUGGGGUGAAGUCGUAACAAGGUAACCGUAGGGGAACCUGCGGUUGGAUCACCUCCUUACCUUAAAGAAGC
rnacentral:rRNA from 1 species